rnacentral:rRNA from 1 species
CAAAAACAUGUCUUAUAGUUUAUUUAUUUUAAGUCUGGCCUGCUCAAUGAAUAUAUUUUUAAUUGCUAUAGUAUUUUAACUAUACAAAGGUAGCAUAAUAAUUUGUCUUUUAAUUGAAGGCUUGCAUGAAUGGUUGGACGAAGGAUAUUCUUUCUUUUUUUAAAUUUAAAUUGAAUUUAUAAUUUUUGUAAAAAGACUUAAAUGUAGUUGUGGGACGAGAAGACCCUAUAGAAUUUUAGCUAAUAAUUAAAAAUCCUAUUUUGGUAUUAAUAAAUAGGAUUUUUAAUUAUUAGCUUUUGUUGGGGUGAUUUUAGAAAUUUAUAAACUUCUAUUUAAUAUUUAAUCAUAAAUUAAUGUAUUAAGGAUCCUUUACUAUGGAUUAAAAGAUUAAAUUACCUUAGGGAUAACAGCGUUAUUAUUCUGGAAAGUUCUUAUUGAUGGAAUAGUUUGCGACCUCGAUGUUGGAUUAAAGUUAGUUUUAGGUGUAGAAGCUUAAUAAACUAGGUCUGUUCGACCUUUAAAUCUUUACAUGAUCUGAGUUCA